GAUUAAUAGAAUGGUUUACGGUCGCUGGGGAGGCAUUGGGAGGAGGAUUCGGUGGCGUGGCGUCUGCUGAUACCCGUAGCCCGGGUAGUGCGUGCACUAGUUCCUCGGUGAGGGUGGUCAGACGCUGUAGCUGAUGGUGGUGCUGGGCCAGCUGGGUGGCUUGAGCGGAGAGCUCCGAAGACAGGUGUACGAGGCCUGCUGGAUCUGUGAGUGGCGAAGUCUUCUGUAAGGAGACGCCGGAUUCGGAGGGAUCCAUUCGCAGGUUUUUAUUAGAGCAUCAGACAGGCAGAGUCAAUGACAGCAGACAGGGCAACGUAGAGCAGACAGGAUCGUAGUCAACGGGCAGGCAGGGGUCGGGGCAGGCAGAGAGCAAUCAGCAGUACGGUCCGGGGUCACUAAACAGGGAUCAAGACUAGGAGGAAACGCUCAGAAAUGACAGCCGGGGCAGAAUCAAGACUUCGCAGUGAGUGUGUGGGUGUCAGUGGCUUUUGUGUGUGUGUCAAUGAGGUGCAGGUGUGUGUGUCAUCAGUGGUGUUGUGGAAUCAGUCCCAGGUGUGAAGCAUGAUGGGAGAUGGAGUUCGAAACCAGUUAGUACUCGGGAGAGGGGUCCCUCCGAUGGCGAGAGAGAGGCGGUGCGGGAGCGUCCUUCGUAACACCCAGGAGGAGUCUGUCUGUUUUUCGUGUGAAAGUACAAAUCAACAUUUAUUUGUUCAGUCAUUAUUUUAACCCAAACCACAAUCCUUUCCUUAACUAAUUAGUUUUGGUUCUAUAGUGGAAGAUUUUAUUGUGCAAUCGGGAAUCAGUUAUAAAGUCUCUCUUGUGAAUCAAAGUUGCAUUUUCCGUUUAUUUCUUGCAAGGAAGAAAAAGACUACAACAGCUAUACAUCGACACCCAGCAGCAACCUUCUUCUUAAUGUUUGCGAGCAAUACAGAUAUAUUUAUACAUUGACAGGGUUAACGCCAUGGUUUUGUUAUGCAAAAAGGAUGGAGGCAGGUAAGGAGGUCCCAGACCCGAAGGAAGACUCAACAGCUUACACCUUCUCCUUCCUCCACGCAGCCAUUUUAUGCAAAGACAAAUGGGAUCAAAGAGAAGUGGUGCUCUGAGAUUCUUCUGCUCAGAUGGUUCCCACACAGCUGGUGUCGUGGAACUUCCUCAGAAUUAAAGUCAUGAUUAGCUUUAGACAUUUAUCGAAUAAAACAUCAUGGCAUCAUUACAUUUAUCCAUUACAGUUCCUAACCCUAACUAAGUUGUUUGCUGUUAAGACAGAAUACUGUUUUGAGAAGAAAUCACCUGUUGCAGAUCUUUUGUGGUAACAAUCAUAAAAAGUCUUACAAAUGAAAGGAAGAAGACUUUUUUGUCUCAAAUUGCAGCAAUAAGCAUACAGUAUAAAGUAUAAUUGUAAUGCCGUUGAGUCUAGAGUUCAGUACCUAUUGUCCUUGCAUAGAAGGUGCAGCCUUCGACCCCCAGAAACAAAAAGGUAUGAAUGUUGGCCUGUAGAGCAGUAGAGAAGCAGUGACAGAUUAAUUAUGAUAAAUGCAGACUGGACUGUGAUAACCGUGCUCUCUGAUCUCUAUCACCUGCUCUACAGCCCUGGGAGACAGAAGAAGCAGCGCAGAGCUCAGGCAGCAUGAUCUACCAUGACCAUAUGUCAUGACAUCAACACCUCGUUGGGAGAAGAUGAAAGAUGAAUGACAUUCUGCGCACAUGAGGAAACUUUUCUUUGACCUUAAGUGUACGCUUAGCACAGAGACAGCCAGGUCUCCUUCAAAUUACAUCAACAAAACUGAAUUGUCUAUUACGUCUGUAAUCAUCGUGGGGGGAAGAUUUGGUACAGGACUUUCACCCAAAAGACCGCUGUAUUUGUCUUGUGUGAAAGCAGAUGUCAACGUUGAAUUAUUUAAAUUUGGCUUUGUAAGUUAAAUAACACAAGAAACAUAUUUAUUAUGGGUGAUUUAUGAUUUUUUCAUAAACAAUGGUAUUAGUAAUUAUGUUGUGUUUUUUUUUAUUUGUUUUAACGUUAAUGAUUCAAACUGCAACCCUAACAUUUUAAGUGACUACAUUUGCCCUUAACACGUAAUUCAAAAAGUUUAGCUCUAUGGAAACUGAAUUUUGUUGGAGAUAGGUUUGGAAAAAUAGAGAGUAGUAAAUCUUUUACCUGGUUCACCUUUCUUCCCAAUGCCACAUCAGCUGCCAACAGUGAGAUUGUUUAAUAAGAUCAGAAAAUAUUGUGACCCUUUUCAGAUGUCUCUGUUCCAGUCCAAAAAGGAGUGGAGGCAGUUUGACACAGUAAUACAAAGUCAUACCUGCUCGUUGUCUUGACGCCUAUAAGUAGAGCUUCCACAUAUUUGUUGAGUAAGCAGAUCAUGUGCCUUUUUCAAAGCGGAGUGGUUGCAUUAGCACUCAAGUACACAAUCGGUGAAUGGAUGAUUGUUGUAAGAAUUAGGAUUACAUAUUUUGUCUCAAAGAAAUAAAAACAAGUAAAUAACGGCCAUUGUAGGGAGAAAUAAUGUUCUCUGUAAUGGAAGUGGUUAAUUGACAGAAAAACUAAAAAAUAUCCUCAGAUUAAAAAAAUGUAGGCAUAACAUUUGUUCAGGUGUUUUGUAUCAAAGAAUCAUAUUCAAUUAUUUAUAAUCCUAUGUAAUUUUAGCGCAAAUUUGCCACUCAUGUCACAAAGAAUACACAAAAGUAUUACCAUUAUCGGGGAGUUUUUCCUGUGCCGAUAGGGACAGAGGAUGUUGCACAGACUGUAAAGCCCAAACAACCUUUGUUACAUCAAUUUGUUAUUUUGGGCUAUACAAAAUGAAAUAAAAUAAAAAUUUUCAAUAGAAUUGAAUUGAAUUAUUUUUCAUUAGAAAAUGGAAUAUUCCUCCUUUCUCAAGGACUGUAUCUUUUUAUAUUUCCCUACAAUGAGUCAAUACUUUUUUUGCCUGUCAUGUUGGCUCCAGCCUGAUCUCCAAAACCUGUUCGUAAAAAUGUAUACGAAAAUCUUGAACAUACAAAUUUUGUAGUGAUACAUACGAAAUGACGUCACCCUAUUCAAAGUGAAUGGGGACCUGCACCCCGUAAACACACUUUGUGAAGUCUAACGAUGUAAAAUAAACGUGUUAUGAUUGCAUUUUUAACGAGAAAUCAAUGUUAACUUGUAAGAAUAGAAUACUAACCCUAACCCCCUCCAAAAAUCCGGAGAGGCGGAGAGACGUUCACUCAAGAAUCCGACAUCGUCCGCCAUGUUGUUCACUCAAGGGGCGUGGUUAACCCCCGCAGUUCGUAUGUAUUGUUACGAAUUUGUAUGUUCAAGAUUUUCGUAAACAUUUUUACGAACAGGUUUUGGAGAUCACGUUGCCAAGUCACAUGACCUUUUGUCAAGGAUGCUGCAUGGUGGGCAAGGUAGGACUCAGAUGCAGAGUUUUCAGAAAGAAAAGGGACUUUAAUUGUCAAAAGGGUUUUCAAAAGCAAAAGGCCAAGGGACGAAAACGAAGACAGGAACCAGGAACCGGGAACCGGGAACCGGGGACGAGGACGAGGACGUGGACUUGGGAACAAUCAUGACAUGACAGACAAUCACAGCGGACGACAGGACAAGGCAGGAAGUGACGUGACCCUGAGAGAACAGAGGAAGGAAACUACAAAAUAAAACCAGACAUGAACCCAAACCGUGACAACCUUUUAUGCAAUAUUGGCCCAGAGAUGUGAAUCUUGCAUGCUCCAUGUGAAAAACUUC
ensembl:lncRNA